CCUACGGGAGGCAGCAGUGGGGAAUAUUGCACAAUGGGGGAAACCCUGAUGCAGCAACGCCGCGUGAGUGAAGAAGUAUUUCGGUAUGUAAAGCUCUAUCAGCAGGGAAGAGAAUGACGGUAACUGACUAAAAAGCCCCGGCUAACUACGUGCCAGCAGCCGCGGUAAUACGUAGGGGGCGAGCGUUAUCCGGAUUGACUGGGUGUAAAGGGAGCGUAGACGGCCAUGCAAGCCAGGGGUGAAAGCCCGGGGCCCAACCCCGGGACUGCCCUUGAAACUGCAUGGCUGGAAUGCGGGAGGGGCAGGCGGAAUUCCUGGUGUAGCGGUGAAAUGCGUAGAUAUCAGGAGGAACACCGGCGGCGAAGGCGGCCUGCUGGACCGCGACUGACGUUGAGGCUCGAAAGCGUGGGGAGCGAACAGGAUUAGAUACCCCUGUAGUC
rnacentral:rRNA from 1 species